AUGUCCCGACUUAACUACGGGAUUAUCUCCUUGAUCCCUAAGGUGCCGGGAGCGGCGGACAUUAGACAAUUCCGUCCUAUCACAGUCCUUAAUGUGAUCUUUCGGAUCCUCGCUAAAGGGUACGCCAAUAGGGCGGCCCUUGUCGCUCCCCGGAUUCAUCAUCCGAACCAGUCGGCCUUCACGAAAGGGAGAUUUAUCUUAGAUGGGAUCCUUGUCCUUCAUGAGAUCAUCCAUGAGGUUAAGAGCAAACACCUUCGUGCAGUCUUCUUCAAGAUCGACUUCCAUAAAGCCUAUGAUACGGUGCACUGGUCCUUCCUUCGGGAAGUGCUG
rnacentral:rRNA from 1 species